UUAAAAUGUAUUAAAGUUUACUUAAGUAGUAUUAGUUAUGAUCUUGAAACUUAAAAAAUUUGGCGGUAUUUUAGUCUAUCCAGAGGAACCUGUCCUAUAAUCGAUAAUCCACGAUGGACCUUACUUAAACUUGUAAUUCAGUUUAUAUACCGUCGUUAUCAGAAUAUUUUAUAAGAAUAAUAAUUUUCAGAAAUUUUUAUUAAAAUUUAUAUCAGAUCAAGGUGUAGCUAAUGUUUAAGAAGAGAUGGGUUACAAUAAAUUUAUUUAUAUGGAGAUAAAUAUGAAAAUUUUAUUGAAAGUGGAUUUGGUUGUAAAAUUAUAAAUAUUAUUAAUUUGAUUUUAGCUCUAAGGUAUGU
rnacentral:rRNA from 1 species